AUAGUAAUUAAUUGAAUUAAUUAAGUAAAGAAAAAUCAGAAUAACAAAAUAUUUUUCUUUCCCAUUAGGAAGUUGACACGCACCCCACUAUACAAUUCUUUUCUCAGCAUUGCAAAGAAGGGCGGGAAAUCACCUCCCAUCUUCGGCCAGCUAGUUGUGAUUGGAGGGAUUUUCUUUCGGUCCAUCACAUGAGGAGGGUCAGAAGGGAUCUAGAAAAACAAAAAAAGAAAAAGAAACGAGAGAGGAGGAAUUCCUCUUCUUCUUCAACGUCCUCGAAAAGCCUCUUCUUCGUUAUUCUCCACCCUUAAUAUUACACACGCCUUCGUCUCCAUUAUCAACCGUAAACUCUUACCUUCCUCCGCCUCCACAAGCAUCACAAACCCGUCAUCGUUCCGCUGCGCCUAGCUCCUUCAAUUACUCUACCUAAUAAAACCAUUUUUCUCACAUUUCUAUAAACUCCUCCCUCAUCUCCAA
rnacentral:lncRNA from 1 species